rnacentral:lncRNA from 1 species
GGGGACGUUCUCCCCGCCGCGGGGGCGACUGUGACCCCCGGCGGAGGCCCGGGCGGGCCGGGUCCCGAUCGGUGCUGGCGGACGUCACCCUGCCAGGUUCGGUGGUUCUGCAGACUGUUUACAUAUGAAAGCAUUUCCAGGUACUCUGAAAGCUUUCAGAAACCAUAACCUGAGGACUAGAGUCACAGAGAGAGAGAGAGAGGCAGAGACACAGGCAGAGGGAGAAGCAGGCUCCGUGCAGGGAGCCCGACGUGGGAUUCGAUCCCGAGUCUCCAGGAUCGCGCCCUGGGCCGAAGGCAGGCGCCAAACCGCUGCGCCACCCAGGGAUCCCCCUUGUUGUUAUUUUAAACAGAAGCUAUUUCAGAUGUCUGUUUAAAGGAAAUGCCAGCCACCAGCCUUCAAGGUAUAGGCGAUGGUAUUACUCUAGAAAAGUGUUUUUUCAAACUUCAUUAUAAGAAACUUCAUGGGUUUCACGAAUGUGCCAUUAAGCUUAAUAUCACUGUGAUCUGAGAUCUCUGCCCUUUGAAAUUUGUGGAGACUGGGUGAACCAGUGUAUGGCAAGUUUUGACUCUAGCAUUGUAUCCUGUAAUGGGACUUCCUGUUGAGUGCUCCCCCACAUCCAACACCAAGGCCACUGAACGCCUCUUUACCAACAUGCCGCCGCCUCCGCUGUUUGCAGACCCGCCGGCUGUGUGACGAGCUUCCUCCACACCCUCCCUGGAUCCUGCAAUGAAUAAACUCUAGCUGUGGAAAGAACAGCAAACACAGCCUGGCUCCUCGCUUAGCUUGUACGGAGCUCCCCACUAAUGUGGACAAACCCUGAUACCCUCAGGUGACAGUCACAUGACUCCAAACCCAGUCUGGCCACCUGCUUCCUCCACAUGGAAAAGGAAGGUUGUAAGGCUCGUACUAGGAUGGCCCCUACCCCAUCUGGGAUGAAGCAAAACAGAACAAAAUUAAAACAAUUCUGUAACUGCAUGUAUGUCUUAGGAUGCUUUCAAUCGCAAGCAAUGGAGAUCUGACUCCAAGAAGCUGAAGCUAUGAGACGGUGUAGUAACCUAUACAACCGGGACUGCGAGUUCAGGUGGCUCCAGAAGUGGUUAGUUGCUCCAGCUGUUCAGUAACAUCAUCAGAGUUUUAGGCUCUUUCUCUCCUUUGUUGUGCCACCUUGAGCACCAGCUGCCUCCUAGGCCUGGCUCCUAGCAUCAUUAUGACCAUUCAUCCUGCUCCAGUGGGAAGACCCAGUUUAUGCCUUUUGCCCUGACCAUGAGUCAUGGCAACCCAUUCACUCUCGGCAGUGUCCCAGUGAUCAGAUAUAUGGUCACCUGCAUUAUGUAUUUGCUGCCACUUGCAAAUGUGGUUCAUUAUCUACAGUCCAUUGGGUCAGGGAGAGUGGCUUUCCUGGAAGAGUCAGAACUCACCCAUAGAGCCCCAAGCAGGUCUCUCCUCUCGUCUGUUUGGUCCACAUUAUAGAAGGAGGGAUGCCAUUUGCCUCGGAUCAAGUGGUCCCCACCCUAAAGCUAGGCUCAGAUCCAAGGCAUAUCGUUCCAUGGAGAGGGAUGGACACCUGAACAACUUUAGGGUUCUCUUCGGAAAGAGGAAUGCAGACUAGAGCGGCCACAAGCAAAAUCCUUUAAAAUGGGCCUGCUUCUUAUUCCUGACAGUUUCUCAAAAUCCUCUGAGGUCAAAUGCUCUCCUGAUUGUGAGGCUAGAUUAUGAGAGACUUCAGUGCAGAGCAAGGACAGUACUUUAUUACUCUGUGUGUUUCAGCGUGUACUUUCCUCCUGCGAAGUCACAACUGUUUGCGAUGUGCUUGUGGGAUACCUAUCUGAAGAACCAGCUGGCAUAUCCUUUGAUCCGGUCUUCGCUAAAAUUGGCAGAGACUUCAUAUGAAUGUACUGUACCCUUUGGAUAAAAUCAAGACAUAAUACAAUUCAUAUAAAAUCUUC